rnacentral:rRNA from 1 species
GACGAGCGCUGGCGGCGUGCUUAACACAUGCAAGUCGAGCGGAAAGGCCCUUCGGGGUACUCGAGCGGCGAACGGGUGAGUAACACGUGAGCAACCUGCCCCUGACUCUGGGAUAAGCCCGGGAAACUGGGUCUAAUACCGGAUAUGACAUCUGCCGGCAUCGGUGGGUGUGGAAAGUUUUUCGGUUGGGGAUGGGCUCGCGGCCUAUCAGCUUGUUGGUGGGGUAGUGGCCUACCAAGGCGACGACGGGUAGCCGGCCUGAGAGGGCGACCGGCCACACUGGGACUGAGACACGGCCCAGACUCCUACGGGAGGCAGCAGUGGGGAAUAUUGCACAAUGGGGGAAACCCUGAUGCAGCGACGCCGCGUGCGGGAUGACGGCCUUCGGGUUGUAAACCGCUUUCAGCAGGGACGAAUUUGACGGUACCUGCAGAAGAAGCGCCGGCUAACUACGUGCCAGCCGCCGCAGUAAUAC